CCCUUAGAUGUUCUGGGCCGCACGCGCGCUACACUGAUGCAUUCAACGAGUCCAACCUUGACCGAGAGGUCCGGGUAAUCAUUGAAACUGCAUCGUGAUGGGGCUAGAUUAUUGCAAUUAUUAAUCUUCAACGAGGAAUGCCUAGUAAGCGUGAUUCAUCAAAUCGCGUUGAUUACGUCCCUGCCCUUUGUACACACCGCCCGUCGCUCCUACCGAUUGAGUGUGUUGGUGAGGAGUUUGGAUUGGCCUCGGAAGGUGGUUCGCCACCGUCCGUAGCUGAGAAGUUCUCCAAACCGCCCCACUUAGAGGAAGGAGAANUCGUAACA
rnacentral:rRNA from 1 species